GGAGCGAUCGCCUAGUUGGCCGAGGGCGCCGCACUGGAAAUGCGGUAGGUGCCGUCAAGGUGCCUCGAGGGUUCGAAUCCCUCUCGCUCCG
rnacentral:tRNA from 1 species